UACAUUUGUCGCGAUUAUGGUUUUCAAAUCUAUACCAAUAGAGAUGAAAUUAAAAGGGAAUUCGGUGUAAAUCCGCAACUGUUCCCGCAACUGUAAGUUUAGUCACUCAUAAAGUGAUGUUUACUGCUGAAACUUUAAAACCACUGUCUUAAUUUAAAUGAUGGGAAGGUAAGUAGUAAAACACAAGUCAGGAGACCUGCCAAAAUCAUAGUAACAAA
rnacentral:ncRNA from 2 species